AUNGUACUCCCUCCGUUCCAAAAUACUUGACUUCCAUUUGUCCAAAAAUGGAUGUACCUAUAUACUAAGACAUGUCUAGAUACAUAUAUAUUUUGACAAAUAGAAGGCAUGUAUUGUGCAACGGAGGGAGUAGAAU
rnacentral:pre_miRNA from 1 species